AUUAAAUUCAUCUAGUCCUUUAUUUUUAUUUUCACUUUCCACCUCCCAAAAAGGAAAAUCCGCUCUCAUAGCGCGAUCCAAGUUUAUAUAGCCCCACCAAGCUUUUAAUUUUCAUCGCCUACCUCUUUCAGAUCUUACUUCUUUCUCACUCUGCUUCUCUCUCCACCAUGGUUCUCUCCAAGACAGCCUCGGAUUCCGACGUCUCCUUCCAUUCCACCUUCGCUUCCCGCUAUGUCCGAGC
rnacentral:misc_RNA from 1 species